rnacentral:rRNA from 1 species
UACGGGGGGGGCAAGCGUUGUUCGGAAUUACUGGGCGUAAAGGGCUCGUAGGCGGCCAACUAAGUCAGACGUGAAAUCCCUCGGCUUAACCGGGGAACUGCGUCUGAUACUGGAUGGCUUGAGUGUGGGAGAGGGAUGCGGAAUUCCAGGUGUAGCGGUGAAAUGCGUAGAUAUCUGGAGGAACACCGGUGGCGAAGGCGGCAUCCUGGACCAACACUGACGCUGAGUGAGCGAAAGCCAGGGGAGCAAACGGG